AAACCAAAGAUGGCGACCGGCGCACGGGUGAGUAACACGUAUCCAACCUGCCGAUAACUCGGGGAUAGCCUUUCGAAAGAAAGAUUAAUAUCCGAUAGUAUAUUUUCUCCGCAUGGCGAGAAUAUUAAAGAAUUUCGGUUAUCGAUGGGGAUGCGUUCCAUUAGUUUGUUGGCGGGGUAACGGCCCACCAAGACUACGAUGGAUAGGGGUUCUGAGAGGAAGGUCCCCCACAUUGGAACUGAGACACGGUCCAA
rnacentral:rRNA from 1 species